rnacentral:rRNA from 1 species
UACGUAGGGGGCAAGCGUUGUCCGGAAUCAUUGGGCGUAAAGCGCGUGUAGGCGGCCAGGUAAGUCCGCUGUGAAAGUCGGGGGCUCAACCCUCGAAUGCCGGUGGAUACUGUCGGGCUAGAGUGCGGAAGAGGCGAGUGGAAUUCCUGGUGUAGCGGUGAAAUGCGCAGAUAUCAGGAGGAACACCAAUUGCGAAGGCAGCUCGCUGGGACGUAACUGACGCUGAGACGCGAAAGCGUGGGGAGCAAACAGG